AUCCGGGUUGCGGACAGUGUCUGGUGGGUAGUUUGACUGGGGCGGUCUCCUCCUAAAGAGUAACGGAGGAGCACGAAGGUUGGCUAAUCCUGGUCGGACAUCAGGAGGUUAGUGCAAUGGCAUAAGCCAGCUUGACUGCGAGCGUGACGGCGCGAGCAGGUGCGAAAGCAGGUCAUAGUGAUCCGGUGGUUCUGAAUGGAAGGGCCAUCGCUCAACGGAUAAAAGGUACUCCGGGGAUAACAGGCUGAUACCGCCCAAGAGUUCAUAUCGACGGCGGUGUUUGGCACCUCGAUGUCGGCUCAUCACAUCCUGGGGCUGAAGUAGGUCCCAAGGGUAUGGCUGUUCGCCAUUUAAAGUGGUACGCGAGCUGGGUUUAGAACGUCGUGAGACAGUUCGGUCCCUAUCUGCCGUGGGCGCUGGAGAACUGAGGGGGGCUGCUCCUAGUACGAGAGGACCGGAGUGGACGCAUCACUGGUGUUCGGGUUGUCAUGCCAAUGGCACUGCCCGGUAGCUAAAUGCGGAAGAGAUAAGUGCUGAAAGCAUCUAAGCACGAAACUUGCCCCGAGAUGAGUUCUCCCUGAGACUUUAAGUCUCCUGAAGGAACGUUGAAGACGACGACGUUGAUAGGCCGGGUGUGUAAGCGCAGCGAUGCGUUGAGCUAACCGGUACUAAUGAACCGUGAGGCUUAACCUU
rnacentral:rRNA from 1 species